rnacentral:rRNA from 1 species
GAUGAACGCUGACAGAAUGCUUAACACAUGCAAGUCGAUUCGAUUUACCUUCGGGUAUUGAGGAUGGCGGACGGGUGAGUAACGCGUAAGGAACUUGCCUCUUGGUCUGGGACAACUGUUGGAAACGACAGCUAAUACCGGAUAUUAUGAGAUUCUCGCAUGGGAAACUUAUGAAAGCUAUAUGCGCCAAGAGAGAGCCUUGCGUUCCAUUAGCUAGUUGGUGGGGUAACGGCCCACCAAGGCGACGAUGGAUAGCCGGCCUGAGAGGGUGAACGGCCACAAGGGGACUGAGACACGGCCCUUACUCCUACGGGAGGCAGCAGUGGGGAAUAUUGGNNNNNGGGNNNNNAGCCUGAUCCAGCAAUUCUGUGUGCACGAUGAAGGUCUUCGGAUUGUAAAGUGCUUUCAGUUGGGAAGAAGAAAGUGACGGUACCAACAGAAGAAGCGACGGCUAAAUACGUGCCAGCAGCCGCGGUAAUACGUAUGUCGCAAGCGUUAUCCGGAUUUAUUGGGCGUAAAGCGCGUCUAGGCGGAAAAAUAAGUCUGAUGUUAAAAUGCGGGGCUCAACUCCGUAUUGCGUUGGAAACUGUUUUUCUAGAGUGCUGGAGAGGUGGGCGGAACUACNNGUGUAGAGGUGAAAUUCGUAGAUAUUUGUAGGAAUGCCGAUGGAGAAGUCANCUCACUGG